rnacentral:lncRNA from 1 species
ACAACCACCAGAAAAAGGGGGUGGGACCCGCCCAAACAAAAAAUGCCCCAAAUGUAACAAAGGCUUCCAUUGGGCUAAUCAGUGCCGCUCUACCCCCUCGGGAAACUCCCAGUCGGGCUCCCCUCGGGCCCCGGUCUAACCGAGGAAAAGAGCGGUUUCCCACCCCCUGCCACCUCUGGCAGUGCAAGCAUCAAUCUAAAAAAUGCACAAAACAUAAAUUCUCAGCUCCCCGGGGAGGUACUCCUAAUGCCCACUCAACUUCGGGGCCCCCUCCCUCCUGGAACGGUGGGGCUUGUGCUCCCCCGUUCUUCCGCUCACUAUAAAGGCAUUAUGACCGUCCCAGGGGUCAUUAAUGCUAAUUAUACUAGCACCAUCUAUGCCCAAUAUUGGGGGCAGCUUCCGCUGUCCCUCAAAAAAGGAAAGUCCUGGUCCCAAUUGUUAUUGCUUCCUUACCAUUGUCCUGCAGUUUCCCUACAGAAACGUACAGGGGGAUUUGGCUCCACACGCGCUGACCCCCUGCAACCCACCACCGGCAAAAAGGUAACACCUGACUCAACUUACCACCCUCAGGUCGCCGCCGUGCUCCAACACAUUCACAAUCGUAAGCCUACCUGUUCUUAUCAAAUCCACGGUGCAAGGAGGAACUCCCCGCCCCGAAAGUGACGUAUCGGCAACUCCCCGGCACUACGUGGAGUGCCCCAGUUCCUUUGAUAACCUGGGGGCGGGGAUACGCGGCCGUCAGCAUGCCACAAGGACCGGUGUGGGUCCCAGCUCGUUACAUACGUCCGUGGAAGGAGGACCCCACCAGCGACCCACAGCAUGGCGUGGCACCAGGGCCUUAGCAAUCCCAUUCCUGAUUUUAACCCGUUGAUAACUACAACAGUGACUUUGUCUCAAGAGCGAUACCGCGGUCCUCCCAAUNAAAGAAAUCCCCGAAGAACUUUUUACUUGCCCUCAUUGCUUGUUUAAAUGCUAAUUCUUGUGUUUUAUUGAGCAUAAUAAUAUUUGUUGUUUGUCUAC